GACGAACGCUGGCGGCGUGCUUAACACAUGCAAGUCGAACGGUGAAGCGAGUGCUUGCACUCGUGGAUCAGUGGCGAACGGGUGAGUAACACGUGAGUAACCUGCCCAUCACUCUGGGAUAAGCACUGGAAACGGUGUCUAAUACUGGAUACGACCAACCCUUGCAUGGGGUGUUGGUGGAAAGAUUUAUCGGUGAUGGAUGGACUCGCGGCCUAUCGGCUUGUUGGCGGGGUAAUGGCCCACCAAGGCGACGACGGGUAGCCGGCCUGAGAGGGUGACCGGCCGCACUGGGACUGAGACACGGCCCAGACUCCUACGGGAGGCAGCAGUGGGGAAUAUUGCACAAUGGGCGAAAGCCUGAUGCAGCGACGCCGCGUGAGGGAUGACGGCCUUCGGGUUGUAAACCUCUUUCAGCAGGGAAGAAGCGAAAGUGACGGUACCUGCAGAAGAAGCACCGGCUAACUACGUG
rnacentral:rRNA from 1 species